AUGAAAGUUUUCACAGCAGAGCCCCUCAUGACGUUUUGACAUCUUUCCCUUUUAGUGGAUACAAUCACUUGUGCUGUCUUCAAAAAUUUUAUUUUUUUCCAUUCCCAUUCUCAUAAUGUACACCUGUGGGAAAACCCAGCAGUGAGAUCCACACACCUGACAGGUCAGAGUUUGGCGAGUGUUAAAGUUGCACACUCAAAUACACAAAAGGUAGUGUUAGAUCUUUUUAUUAAAACAAAGGUUCAUCUUUCAUCCACUUAGAAGAGAAAAAGAGCUAAAGGAUUGAAAUAAGAAGAGGAAAGGAACCUUCUAAAUUUUGCUCCACUGAGCAAACACUGCAUUUUAAUCCAUUCAAAGACACAACAGGGUGCUUGGCUUGAUUGCGCAAAACUCCCUUAUUGAAAGAAAUCUCCCCCCUCACUCAUUUCCUCCUUUAUCCUCCACCUAUUCACUUAAGAUUUUCUACAUUUUCCUCCUCCCAUUCCUCCCCUUUGUAUUCCUGGACUCCUGCUCCACCCAUCCUAUCCCUCACCACAUGCACAUAUCUCACCUCCGUAUAUAACCACCCCUCUUGUAUACAUUUUAUACCCAGUAUACUUCGACAAAGAUGCUGUAUACAUUUGUAUACGCUGUGUGCCUGUCUCCAUUGUAUGCCAUCCAUAUCUAUGUAGCGUUCACUAUGUUUUAUUGACACUGUAGUCACCAUACAAUUCUUCCUCUCAUCAUUAUUGCUCAUUCUUCUUCUGCAGUUAAAGUUGUACGACUAUAAUCUCCUAUCAUGUCCCUCCUCCAUGUCCGCCCUUGCUCCGCCACUCAAGCCCCACUCCCAACUCCCAUCUUGUGACCCACACUCCACACAGAAGAAAAAGAAUGUUUCACUCUGGAGAAAUUCAUGAUGUGAGAAAUAAAUGGAGGGCGGAGGUGGAGCGUAGGAGAGGGUGGGGUCGAGAAAACAGCUCACCCAAUUAAUGACAAAGAGAAAUGUCUGUAGUAUAAUUACAAAAGAGGAAAAGUGCACUAUUAUGACAAUGAUUAUUAUUGCCUGUGAAAAAUACUGAC
ensembl:lncRNA